CAUUAUCUUGCUUUCAACUUGGACAUCUUGUUUGUACCAGCACCACAAUUUUAGGACAUUUUCAUUACUCUACCUUUAGAUCUAGCGGAACCAUUCUCCAAGGGACCACACCGGAGGGGCCUCCUCUGCACCAGACCUGAUUUAGAAGUUGAGGUCCUGGAUUCGGAGCCUAAGCCUGGUGACAUCGCUGAUGGAUUUUGGGUGUCUUGGAGGUGCUUCCACCAUUCAAUCUCUCCUACCCCCCCCCCCCCCCCCCCCCGCAAGGCCCAUCUCUGAGGUCAGUAGCAGCAUAACCCAUGCGUUUCGACAGCAUUCAGACACAGUCUCCUUUUGAUUCAAGGACAGAACGCCAAGGCUUGGAGGAGCACUCCCUAGCGCCUGAAUGGUGUUACCCAUCCGCAUGGAUGUUCCCAGUUAGCGAUCAUGCUGUGCUAAUGCUGAGUGCUGGACCCCAAGGGACAGCGGUACCCAUGUGUGCUUCAAUGGUGCAGUGUGUGUGCGCGCGCGUGCAACGUGGACCUUCCAAAGUGUGGGCCUCAGAGCUGAGUGUUAUUCCCGGGAAGGAACUCGGUGGGGCUCCUCUUGCCU